ensembl:snRNA U6 U6 spliceosomal RNA
GUACUCAGCUCAGUAGCAUUUACACUAAAAUUGGAAUGACACAGAGAUUAGCAUGGCCCCUGCACUAGGAUGACAUGCCAAUUCAUGAACAAUUACAUAUUUUU